UUCGCAAUGCCCGAAAGGGUGACGAAGCGACGCCGCGUGGGGGAUGAAGGCCUUCGGGUUGUAAACCCCUUUCGCUCGUUAAGAAAUCGUGGCCGACUAAUACUCGGUUACGUUGACAAAGGCGAGUAAAGAAGCACCGGCUAACUCCGUGCCAGCAGCCGCGGUAAUACGGAGGGUGCUAACGUUGUUCGGUGUCAUUGGGCUUAAAGGGUGCGUAGGCGGCCGGGUAAGUCAGGUGUGAAAGCCCUCGGCUCAACCGAGGAAUUGCGCUUGAUACUGCCUGGCUCGAGGACCAAAGGGGAGAGCGGAACUCCAGGUGUAGCGGUAAAAUGCGUAGAUAUCUGGGGGAACGCCGAAGGCGAAGGCAGCUCUCUGGGUGGUUCCUGACGCUGAGUGCACGAAAGCUGGGGGAGCAAACAGGAUUAGAUACCCUGGUAGUCCCAGCCCUAAACGAUGGGCACUAAGUAGAGGGGUUUU
rnacentral:rRNA from 1 species